GUCUUGUCAGGGACAUUUGAAUAAAUUAGAACGAUACACUGAGCGCCUCCUACGCAAGGAUGACACACAUAAAUCGAGAAAUGAUCUAAUUUUUU
rnacentral:snRNA from 1 species